GACGAACGCUGGCGGCGUGCUUAACACAUGCAAGUCGAACGGGAUGAUUUAGAAGCUUGCUUUUAGAGAAUCUAGUGGCAAACGGGUGAGUAACACGUAGACAACCUGCCGACAGGAUGGGGACAACAUUCCGAAAGGAAUGCUAAUACCGAAUGAAGUCAGAGAAGGGCAUCCUUUUCUGAUGAAAGAUGGCCUCUGAAUAUGCUAUCACCUGUCGAUGGGUCUGCGUCUGAUUAGCUGGUUGGUGAGGUAACGGCUCACCAAGGCGACGAUCAGUAGCCGGCCUGAGAGGAUGAACGGCCACAUUGGGACUGAGACACGGCCCAGACUCCUACGGGAGGCAGCAGUGGGGAAUCUUCCGCAAUGGGCGCAAGCCUGACGGAGCAACGCCGCGUGAGUGAAGAAGGUCUUCGGAUCGUAAAGCUCUGUUGAUGGGGACGAACGUGCGAAGGGUGAAUAAUCCUU
rnacentral:rRNA from 1 species